GUGCAUGGUGCAGGGUGCAGGGUGGGGGGCUGUGGGGAAGGUAUGGGGGGUUUCGGGUGCAGUGGGGAGGUGCAGGGGGUGUGGGGUGCAGGGGUGCCUCCAGCCCCAGACCUGCUGGGGUUGCACUGGUUCUGCUGCUGACAGGUGACCCACCUGCCCCUGUGCGCAAGUCACUGAAAGUUUUGGAGCCUGGUUUUCUUACCUGAGAAAUGGGGCUGAUGAUCGUCCUGACUGAUCGAUUGGACCACCCGGUACACCACUGGCCUCUCCGAUCCACAAGCUUCGAAAGCAUUUUCAUAUCAGGAUCCUGCAGAUGUGGUCAAGACAAGCACUGGGCUGGGCGGGGCCCAAGUCCAGGAACAGGCAUCCUCCUAAGAGGAAAGAGACCAACACGGUGCCAUGGGAGGCAGGCGAGGUUGGAGCAACGGCACAAGCCAGGGAAGCUGAGAGCAGCAGAUGCUGGGACAGGUGGCUAGGAGCCACCGGUGCACCCGGGGAGCACGCCCUUGCGAGGUGAUGAAAAACCUGCUGAAAUAGCACAGAGCAGCCCCUCCCGCGGUGGUUCAUAGCAUUCAUCCCCUGAGAGCCCACACAGGCCACACCACCGGCCCACAGAGGGGAAGCUGAGGCAGGAGCCUAAUGACUCGCCCCAGGCCUCAAAACGAUGUGCACUGGGGCUGUUUCCACUAUUAAGUCAACAAUCUCUGCAGUUUCUGCUUAAUGGUCUCAAUUAAGGUUCUCUUAAUAAAGAACAUUUGUG
rnacentral:lncRNA from 1 species